CUAAUACGUCUGUAUUACUUUUUGAAACCGAUGAUCGUUAUUUCUCAUUUUGUUUUACAAUGAAUUAUAACAAUAUCUGUAUAGGGGCAUUCGGCCUUUUCAAGUGUAACUUAUCUUGAUUCAAGUUAUUUAUCUUAAACUUCAGAAAAGGAAAGUCGCGUCGCUAGGGACAAAGUGGACAGAAAGAGAAACCUUUAAGGGAGAGAUUAGGAGCAACCACGUGGUAUUGAAGUUACCCGUUUUGUGAUCCAUGAGCCAGAAGUAGUGAGAGGAGGACUAGACAGGAACGAGUCUCACAAAUUAGUAGUCACACAAAGUAGGCAAACUUACUUUCAUCGGGCACACGAGUACAGUCAGUACACUGGUCAUGAACCCUGUGAGAGGAUUUACCCCGGGGAUUUACACGCCUCUCUUGCUGUUAUAUUCUCCUGAAUAUUACGGAAACUAUGUUAGAAACACUUAAAUGUCUUUCUUCACAGUUCAAGUAUUUCCUUUUGAAGUCCAUAUAACAAGAUUUUUACUUACCAUGCUGUCACAAAAGGAAUAGCGCAGUCUUUCAUGAUCCUCAAAAAGCAUGUCUCAUGAGGGGACUGAGUUUAUUGCUACAGUUUCAGUAAGAGUGUCAUCUAGGCUGUGGUAACAGUUGACCGUGUAGGACAUAUUCUCUACGGGCAGACCAUUCUAGCAACUUACUGACACACUUGUGGACCGGAUAUCAUAAACAAUCCCUAGAAAUAGAAACUCACGUCAGAUAGCAAGUGACAAUAGUCUGUUAAUUCUUUUUACGUUGUCAACAGAUCUAAUUGCUCUAAACAUUCAUUUUUCCGCACUACAGGAUAGUUAAGUUUGCAAUGAUUUACCAAGAGAUGGAUGUAGUGGAAGCUGAUAACCCUCAGCUGUAUAAAUCCAUGCUCAAAUUGCAGUUGAAUGUCUGAUAAAUUGAGGAUCUUAA